GAUGAACGCUGGCGGCGUGCCUAAUACAUGCAAGUCGAACGCUGGAAAUCUAGCUUGCUAGAUUGAAGGAGUGGCGAACGGGUGAGUAAUACAUAAGCAACCUACCCACGAAGACUGGGAUAAUCUCUGGAAACGGGGACUAAUACCGGAUAGGUAAUCGGAAGGCAUCUUCUGAUUAUUAAAGGUUAAAAACACUGGUGGAUGGGCUUAUGGCGCAUUAGUUAGUUGGUGAGGUAACGGCCCACCAAGACGAUGAUGCGUAGCCGGCCUGAGAGGGUGAACGGCCACAUUGGGACUGCGACACGGCCCAGACUCCUACGGGAGGCAGCAGUAGGGAAUUUUCGGCAAUGGGGGAAACCCUGACCGAGCAACGCCGCGUGAGUGAGGACGGCCUUCGGGUUGUAAAGCUCUGUUGUAAGGGAAGAACGGUAGAUAGAGAAUAUCUAAAUGACGGUACCUUACCAGAAAGCCACGGCUAACUACGUG
rnacentral:rRNA from 1 species